GCGGCGAUUUUAGGCGCCCCUGGGCCAACAGUUGAAGAUGCUCUUAGCAUCGCUGUUUCUAAGCGCGAGGGCACGAGAUCGAUCCCGAUCGAGUGCUGUUUUUUGGCCUAACUUUUUUCCAGUUUGCUUGCGCGGCGCAGAAGGCGAGCAAUAGGAGGUCCCCCUUUCCUUCUCUCUUCCCUCCCCUUCGAACGUUACCUCCUUUCCACUCCGCUACACUUUCAGCUUGAUACGAUUGGUUGAUCUUCUCCGUCCACGGGGUGCUCGUCUGUUGCAAUGGCGUUCGUGCUUUGGAUGAGCGCUGCUGGUUGGGAUUAAUUUCUUCCCAUGCUGUCCUGCGUCCUGCGUCCGCUGUCGCGUUGUUCGCGUUAAGGUUGGACGAUUUGUUGUGCUCCUGCAUUUCUUUGCAGCUGCUCAAGGUUUGCUCUUCUUUUCCCCUGCAUGCCAUUGUUUCUAGCUACAAAUAUGUUUAUCUUUCUAUGUGUGUUGUUGUCUUGGUUCAUUUGCUGAUCGACUCAUUUUUGUCAUGUUCCACCUAUUCUGACGGUCUACCUUUGGCUAUAAAUGUGCGUAUAUUAUCAUGUUCCCCUUAUCCCUGCAUCACUGAACAAUGCUGGCAAACUAAUGUCCCUUUGCACUGUGUAAUGGUGUUACAGACUGCCAUUUGUUUUGUCGAGCUUACUAACUGAUUUGUUUUUACAUUAUCAUGAAUAUGCUUUAGGCAUGCCUCUUCUCUGUUUCGGUGGCCCUUUGCCAGUCUCUUCAUUUUCCAAUUAUACUCAUGCUUUCCCGUAUGUAGAUGUGAUUAUAAAUGGCAUUAAGAAUGAGUAGAUCCGACUCGGGGAGGGCAUGGUUGAUGUAUGCAACCAUGGGAGUGUCAGCUUAGUCUGGUCCUCAUCGACCAAAGGCUCCUGGACUUGGCCAUCGCCAGAGUUAUGCGAAACAAGGUUUUUUAGGGAACUCUUUUGAAAGACAUGUGUAUACAAAACACAUGUUUCAUUGUCUUUUUUUUUCAUGAGUUGUUGAAAAGAUGUUAUGAAGCUUUAUUGAUAGUGUUUGAACUAAGAUGAAGUGGUCUGGAUGAUCAGGUUUUGCAGAUCCUACAGAUUGUUAUACCUUCUGUACAAUGCACUGUUCUGGAUUCGAAUAGACUGGUUUCUCCAUGUCCAAGUCUUUUGUUCUAAGAAAAAAUUCUUUGUUGCAUCCACAUUAACCAUAUGUAUUUACGUUUCCAUUUUCGAAUUGUAAACUGUAGCUGCCUAAAACUUUGGUAUAAAAUAAAUAAAGCCCUUAUUGGUAAAUGAGGCACGUUAUUAGCAAUGUUUCACAUUUUCUUACUUGCAAUACUAUGCUUGCCUGUUCAGGUCUUCCAAGACCUAAAUCAUCAGAAAUCCAGCACAUAGAACACCUUUUUUUUUGAACUUCGGUUACCCUAUACAAGCCUCCGUUCAAUUUUCUUAUACGGAGGGGUUAGAAUAGUUACCAUAUGUGCUUGCUCAAAACUAAAUCUACUGAUAAAUGGAAAAAAAAUUCAAACCACACAUGGGUGUUUAGCCUCAUGGAUGGAUGAGGUGUGGCAGUAGUUCUCGGGUGCAGUAUCUAUCUUGAUAAAGCGAUCGAUCAGGGCGCAUUAGAGGCAGAAGAAGAGAAAAUGUUUGGGGCGUUUGUGGCGUUGAACGUUCAGUGCGUAUGUACAUGCACGGCCAGUUCAGUAACUAGAUGGCCUUUUCUACUAUAUUGGUGUUGAUACUUUUCACAUGCUAGCUUAUUUGAAAAGCGUCAACAAUGUGUGCCACAUGUAAACAGUCCAUGUUGAAAGAACAAAAGCAGAAGUGUGGACCCGUCAAAAAAAAACAGAAGUGUGGAGGUGAUGUAAAUGGCCAGUCAGGGAAUUCAGUCUCGAUGAGCUUCACUAAUGACAUGUGUGAGUUGAGCCCCGAGGUCAUUUUCAAAGUAACGGAAGUAUAUUACUUGUCCUUCUCAUGUCAGAGGUCAAUGGUACUUGCAUGUUUUAUCAGGUUAUUAAAGGGCAGCAGUCAUAUACACAUUAUAAACAAAUAGUAAAACACUUUUAUGAAGCAUGUAGUAGACAAAUAGUACUACUGAUAAAUGGAAAAAGAAAAUCAAAGCACAAAUGGUGCUUAGUGGGUCUGUGUCAUUUGGCGCAUGAGAUUACUUAAAAAUACACAUAUUUUCAACACGACAUGAUCUUCAAUCACUACAGUUUCUAAGCUCCCAAGAAUUGAGAGCUCCUGGUGAAAGUCGGUUCAUGAGACUGAUGGUUAAUAUUCUUUACGCUGCUUAGGUGUAUAUGGGCCUGCACGAAGGUGAGUCGUGGCAAUUGUAUGGGCCUUUUGCUUACGUGUUCGCUGCUGCGUUCGGUCUCGCUUCUCGAUGAGUUUCGUGGGCGACGGUUGUGCGUCGGUUCACACUUCGCAGUGAGGGCGUCGGGGUGUUCCCUGCGCAGGGCGCUUGCUGUUUUCUCGGGGAGGGGAGUUGAAUGCGCCGCCGGGGGCUUCGUCUUUCAAAUCGGCCUUGUCCGGUCUGCUGGGUAGCUGGAGGUGUUCACGGCGACAUCUGGUUGCGGGGGUUCGUCAGCUGUUGUUGUUCCUGCGCUGCAUCUAUGUUUUUCUUCGUACUUGUUUCCUCUUCCGAUUUGGGUGGCGGCGUUCUUCCGCCGUGGGCUCUAUUGGUGUCCGUGCCUCUUCCUCGAAGGGGUGGUUCUUCAUUGACGGCGCAUAUGCAGACUGGUUUCUCGGUGCCUCGUGGACAAAUCGGCGCCGCGUCUGGCGUUCAACCCCAUCCCACCCUCAUCCGCCACUAUCACCUCCUCUUACUCCUCCCAUUCUCAGCGUCGGCCGCGGGCCGCCCCCUCCUCCUGCCGUCCACGAUGCGACCCCACUGCGGCGCCUUCCCCUGCGAACCUGGUGGCGAUGUCUACCACGAUGGGCGAAGGGGCGUGGUUCAUCGGAGGACGCGGCGCCCGGUGGUGGCGCUAUCCUCCCUGGUCAUCUACAUCUGUUACUUCUCCUUCACGCUGGCGUGGAGCCACCCUCUGUGAGGCCUUCGCCGCCGCUACGCAGCAGCUCGCUAUCCACCGGACACCUAGACCGAGGAGGAGCAGUGAACGCUGACUCCUCGAGGCAUGCUGCAAGCAAUAAAGAUUCAGGACUUCAAGAGGCCCUACUUCUUUGGGAUGGGCAAACUCAGCAGCAAAGUGCCCAUCGUCAGAUGGCGGACCGCUCAAGAGCUCAACAGAGGGAGGGGGCAGGUAUCUCUGAUACAUCCUAUUUCUCUUGAGUUUUUUUGUCCUUCAUUUUUUGGAUUCAGUUUCCCUUUUAGAUAGCAGGCUAUUCCCCCGGCCUUAUAAUGAGUCAGGUUUUACGAUCAGAUUCACAGUUCAGCGAUCGGCCUUAUAAUGAGUCAGGUUUUACGAUCAGAUUCACAGUUCAGCGAAUACCAGAGAUAACAACACCUAAACAGGGACAGGGCGGCGCAAUGCCCAAAUACAGUUUGGUCGCGCGACAAAAUGCAGCAAAAGAAGGUUCUUUCAUGCUUAUUCAGGUUUGGUUGAAGUACUAGGAAGUAUGGUGAAUUAAUUUUGGCAAUGCUCUGCAAUGGCGUGGUGCUUGUGUAAUGCUUCAGUGAGUUCCAUGUUCUCUCCUUCAUUUCCUUCUUUGUCACAAAUUAAUUAGCUUCUUCCUGCCAUUUUAGCCGACCGGCCUGAAGGCCAAAGUGAUGUAUGUGUAGUUUAUUUUUCUUUGUUCAAGCACAAAAAUGGCAGCAACUGUUCUUCCUGGAUAGGAUUGCCUUUUGACAUUUCAUGGUAUUUUAGUCCUCACGGUUUGCAAUAUUAGUCUCAUAGUUGAAUUACAAUGUCCAUUAAAAAAAGGAUUUGGGAUUUACACAAUCAUUAAAUUGUUCAACGUCAGUAUAGGGGACAGAUUGAUGCAUUUCCCUUUAUGUAGGCAUUGGCAUAGCUAAAUCACAGAGGCAGUGUGAACGCCCUGAGAACCAAGACAACACCUGAUGCCCCUGCCUCCUUUUCUGCUGCCAUCGGCGCCGGAUUUACAGGAUAUUUGUUCCUGGAUGGCUAUAUGAAUUGUUAUAUUUGGCUUAUUAAUGUCAGCCUUUGUUUAUAUGGUACAGACACAACAAUGGUUGCCAUAUGGAAUCAACACGCAGAGGGCUCCGAUGCUAAAUGAUAUAUGGACAUGACCAGCAGAGGAUCAGUGGUGUUCUUCCUAUUGGGGUGACAUGUCAUAUGUUUGAAGGGAUCAACAUUAUGCAAAUGGUAUGAAAAUCCUCAACUUCCUGAAGCCAUUGCCAUGCAAGAUAGGUAAGCGAUGGUAAGACUGAUUCUCUACUACAGGCUUAGUGCUCUGAAACAUCUUUUUUGCCAUUCUCCUCUUUUUUAGGAACAAUCCCAUAUAGUAGUACUCCUUUUGAUCCGAAAAAAGUGUUGUGGUUUUAGUUCAAUUUUUUUUUAUCGGAGGAAGUACCACUUAAUUAUAACAUAAAUUUGAAGAAAAGAGGAAAUGUGUUUUGUUGAUUAUCAUCUAAGAAAUUACAUCACGCAGUUAUAAUAUUUGUUCAAUUAUUCCUGGUCUUAUCCAUUCAGUUCAUAUCUGUAGACAAAACUGAUGCAACUCCAUAGUCAUUUAUUGCUAGAAUUAAGAAAAUGAAAUUUUACAUUGAACCGCUCUUUCUAUAUACAUUUUUGGCUGAAAGAGAUAUAUCGCCAAGUGAUGCCAUUAGUACCAAAAAUGCCAAACGGAGACCGAGCUUCAUGGAGAGACCUUAAUUUGAAAACUUCAAAAUCCGAACUUUUCAGUUUCAGAAAAUUCUGAAUAGAAAUACACAUAUACCUAGAUACAUAAUGUAGCGUGCAAUUUUUCCAGUCGAAAUAUGUUAAAAUGAGAGCUACACAAAAAAGACAAAUCUGAGGCUUUUUAGCAUAUGUACUGUUCAUCCUCAAAGUCCAUGAUUGUGUUCUUUUUGUGCAGCUCGCAAUUGUUGGUAUUUCAUUCUGAAAUUUUACACACAUACACCUUACAUCCUUGCAUACAUGGGUAUUUUUAUUCAGAAUUUUUUGAAACUGAAAAUUUCGAAUUUUUCAAAAUAAAGGCUCCUAUGGAGCCCGGUCUCUGAAAUCCCUAUAUGUCCCAUGAAACCUGCAUCAGGACAGCAGGGCUGGGCUUUCUUCUAAUGACCUCAACAUGGUCUGCAGAUCACCUAGCUCACGCACAGGAUGCACUGCAUGCGCAUGGGGCAUCAGCAACAUUGUAGUUGAGUCGGACGCCCAGCUGAUGAUUGAGGCAAUCAACACACAACCACUAUUUAGGUCUGAGGGGUUCUGUUCAGGGAUAUUAGCGCCCUAUCUUUUCUGCAUUUCAAUGUGUUUUCUACUAUUUCCUAUUGCCCAUGGGUAUAUAAUAAAGUAGUUGACGCUCUUGUGCAGUAUGGAUCAAAGAUGGUACAAUAAGUUCUGAGCCGCAUGGCCUACCUUCAUACACGCAUAACGAAUCUAUUCAUAAACAACCUUUUUGCCAGCACAUGUCGAUCUUUUGUAUUUCCCGCAUGUCAAUCUUAUGUAUUCUCGGCGCGGCAAAGCGCACAUGACCCUCUAGUGAGAUUCUAUACUACCAAAUUAAAAUGUAUGUGUACAUCUCAUUGUAGACAAUAAGCCUUCAUUCUUUCUUUAUUAGAGAGGGUUAACUUUUAUUUGCAAAGAGAGGGGG